ensembl:snoRNA small nucleolar RNA SNORA3/SNORA45 family
UUAGAGACUAGAGUCUCAUCUUGACAUGUGUCGUUGUCUUGGUGUGCUAGAGUCCUCUUAGAGUAAAGACUGACCCAUUUUGAAUAACUGGACUCUUUCCAGUCCAGUCAAACAAAUGGGCAGAUACAAAA